GUGGCAUUAUUGAGUAUUGGUAUGUACAAUUACAUAAAUAUCAAGUGUUUGAGCAAAGAAUUCCUCUCAAGUAGGUGCUGGGAGCUGUCUUAAACUUGCAAUUAGGUGAGAUUUUUGUUGGUUCCGUAUUGAAGACCUCAUUGUGACUGAAAUGAAGAGCAGCAAUUAAGUGUUGUUCUUUUGCUUAAUGCAAGUUUUGCUCUGCAUGUACUGAUUUUGUCUCCUGGAAGGAUACCCC
rnacentral:lncRNA from 1 species